UGCUGCAGCUAUUAGGGGUUAUUUGUGGUUCUAUACAAAUUUUUGAAAUGUUUGUUCUGUAUCUGUGAAAUAUGUCAUUGGUACUUUAAUAGAGAUUACAUUGAAACUGUAAAUUGCUUUGGGUAGUAUGGAUAUUUUGAUGAAGUUAAUUCUUCUAAUCCAUGAACAUGGUACAUCCUUCCAUUUGUUUGUGUCUUCCCUAAGUUCUUUCUUCAAUGUUGUGUAGUUUUCUGCAUACAGGUCUUUUACCUCCUUGGUUAGGAGGUAGAUAUAUUCCCAGAUAUUUUAUUUUUCUCUUGAGUAGAAAUUUUUUUAAACAUUUGAAAGCCUUGCAGAUAUUUUUGUUGACUUUUAAAUUAGGUUAAACUUUUGAACAGGCAAUCAUUUACAUGGUUGAAAGUCAAAAUGAUAUUAAAAUGUACCUAGAGAAGUCUCAUUUCCAUUCCUGCCUCUGGCUAUCCAGUCUUCCCUCCCUCUGUAAGUCACUAUUUUGAUUAGUCCUCCAGUAUUUUUUAUGCAAAUAUAUACAUAUGUGCAUAUAUGCACAGAUAUAGUCUUAUUUUCAUACUUACACCAAAAAUAUUAUAUACAUAGGCUGCACCUAGCAUUGUUUCCUUGAAACUAUGUCCUGGACAUUAUUCCAUAUCAUUUUAUAGAGAACUUGAUCUUUGUUACAGUGCAUUGUAUUGCUUUUUAGGGACAUACUAUAAAUCAUAUAAAUCAACCACCUAUUCAUAAACACUUGUGCUUCCAUUUUGCUAUUACCCUAAAUGCAGAACAGGGAUUUUUAUGCCAGACUCUUCCUCCCCCCAUUGCCCAGUCUUGACGUCUUUCUGCCCGGAGUAGACAGUCAAUAAGCACGGUGGGAAGAAUGACUUAACCAACACUAAAGAGCGAAGGAGGGUCUGGUAGAAGGGAGCCCGGGAUCCCCAUUGGCACACGGUCCUUCGCCGAAGCCUCAGCAGGUGGCGUCGUGGGCGGCAGGUGCGCCUGGCCCUCCGGCUGUUUCCCUGGGAGCAGAACCGUGCGGGGGACAGCAUGAUAAGAGGUCUUGUCCUGGGAACCCCUCGGGCCUGUCCUAGGAACCCCUCAGGCCCCUGGCUGCAGAGUCUGCUGGCGUGAUGCCCGAGGAGCCGCGGGGCAUCGGGGCCAGAAAGAAUUCUGAUUCGCUGCCUUGGAACCAGCUGAAGAAUAGACCUGAAUCUGCAGAGCAGAGUGGGGGUGAAUGGAGUGAAAUUCGGCUGAAUCCAUAGUGCGAGAUUCUCCCUCCGAACUUCGGAUGAAGCUGCCUAUGGAUGUGCUGCCCUUUCUCCUUUCCAACGGGGUUGUGGAGUCUGUCUCCUCACCACUACACAGCAGAGGGUGACACCACCUAUUAAGUCUGUGAGUCCUGUCACAGUGUCUGCAGGGCUGACCUCAGCACCAGCGUGGCGCAGAGCCCGAGGUGGCCUCCAGGGUGCGCUCUCAUAGCCCCAGCUCACCCUCAGCACAUCUUGUCCUGGAUUCUGCCACCUUCCCUGUCCUUUAGUGGGAAGCUCUGGUUUCUCUCAGAAGCUCUUCAUGCACUGCGUGGACCCUUCACAGAACUGGGUGGUUUUCAGGGCUAACUGGCAAGAGGAAAAAAGAGAGAGAAAAUAAGCGGGAUUCCCCAAAUUGUGUAGCACAAAGCCCAUUUUCUGAGGUCCUCGCCAGAGACAGGGUUUUCCUUUGCAUUUCAGGAGCUUCUUCCCUGGCCAUGGCUGCACCUUGAGGGCAGCAGCAGGGCCAGGAGAGGAGGAGGGGGAAGGGUGCCCAGCAGCCCCCACUGUGGCUCUGCCAGGCUCCUGUCCAGUCCUUUCUGCGUCCUCCCCACCCUGCUCAUGGAGCAGUGCCUAGACUCACCUCCUUCAGGACAGAGCUUAGGUGCAGGUGGGGACCCACCAGGUCACUGCCAUGCUGGUCACUCGUCCAGUCCUGACUUCCGUCCCUAGUCUGCACACUGCUGCUUCGCUCCAGAAUCCAUGGACACCGGCUUCUCUAUUCUGUCCUGAGCUCUUGGUUGUCAUCAGUGAGGGGGCGGCUGGCUGUGGACCUGCUCCAUGCUGGUGGGUUCAGAACGAUGUGGUGUCUUUAAAGGAACACAGGGGAGGAAGAGAGUGAGUGAACAGCAGGUGGACUUUCUGCUGUGCAGAAAUCAGUGCCUGGUGUUGUCUUUACUCACAGUCCUCUGAAGUGCUGUGUUGAUUGGCAGGAUGCACUUCUAUUUUCUUCUCCUCUGGUUGCUCUUCCUGAAGAGGGUGCAUGGAGUUGGCUGCACACGCACCUGGACCGGAAGGUGGGCGUGCCGUCCCUGUGCCCAGACGCACCCUGUUCGUGCUGCUCUGUGUCUGAGUCCCUCUCACCAGUCAGUUCAGGUCAGGACAGAGGCGGGACCAGCCGUCGUGGCUCCUCCCAGGCCUUCCCGACACCACCUGUCCGUCUGUCCUGCACACCACUGGUCUGUGCUCCUUGCCAGCUGAAUUUGGAGGGACAGGAAGCCUCCGGGGCACUUGGAGGAACCACACAGCAGAGAAGCCCUGGGUCCCUGAGUCCCUGUGUGGAGAGGAUGAGCCGUGGUGGCUCCCUGGCCCAAAUCGUGGGACACAAGGACCAAGUAGAUUUCACCGAGCUCAAAUGCUGAAAAGUUAGUUAGGACCACUUACCAUUAUGACUUUCAUGGGCAGAGUCUCUGAUGGGCAAUUAGACUCUCCCUGGCUUGACUGCUGAGUAAGUGUCAGACUUUUGAUGAGUCACUUUGUGUCCCUCAUCUUCAUUUAGCCCCUGGCUGAAUGGGGUGUGUCGAUUCCACCCACCAGCAUUGCUUGUCCCUCUUCUCUGCCACGUUGGAAGAUAAAUCGAAGCCACCUGUGGAAGGAGAGCGCCUAUGAAGAUGAGGUAUCAUCAUUACCUCAUUCUGAAUACCCUUCUGCCAAGUACAUAGAAGAAAAUUAUUAAUCACCCCUUACCUGGACAGUAACGAAGCAGCCGAGUGAAUGCUUAGCCCCCUCUCAGGGCAGCCCAGCUCUGCCUGCACCAGCACAAGAGGCCACCCGGACAGGACAGAGGCCCCACGGGGGAGGAGAUGGGCCACUUCUCUCCCAGCUGUGUGAGUCUGUCCCAGCAGUGGGUCCGUCUGCACUGCUGACGGCUGCUGGAGGCAGCAAGGCCUUUAGACACGACACUGACAUGAUCUGAUUUAUACUUUUUAAAGGUCA